rnacentral:misc_RNA from 1 species
AAUCGGCAGGCGGUUGUCAAU